rnacentral:rRNA from 1 species
UACGUAGGGGGCAAGCGUUGGUCCGGAUUUAUUGGGCGUAAAGAGCGUGUAGGCGGUCAGGUAGGUCCGUUGUGAAAACUCGAGGCUCAACCUCGAGACGCCGAUGGAAACCAUCUGACUAGAGUCCGGAAGAGGAGAGUGGAAUUCCUGGUGUGAGCGGUGAAAUGCGCAGAAUAUCAGGAGAAACACCGGUGGCGAAGGCGGUUCUCUGGGCCUGACCUGACGCUGGAGGAGCGAAAGCGUGGGAGCGAACAGG